ACUAUAUAAAAGGACAAAAAGAGUUGUGAUGGCAAAAGUAUUAUCAGUUGAGUUUCAGCCAGGGUAAAGGAACACUCUGUACCCGGCCUGAGUCAGUCACUUAGAUAUUAAGGGAAGAAUAGUAGAAGUCUGGGCUCUGGACUGAGUUGCUAGUAGUGACUUUCAGGUUUUCUAAGAUCCAAGAGCUAUACAUUUGCAGCUUCCAGGACACCAAAAAGGACUGGACAGAAAGACAUGGUGCUCACACAGUCAUUGAGUGUCUGCUGGUGCACAACAGAAACCACAAAACUUACAAGACUGAUGGAAGAGAGCCUGGUAGGUGAGUUACAGGAAGCUGCCUUUGCUCAAUCCUGAGCACUGGAGUUACAGAACACUGUGGCCACUAGCUUUGAUAUGGGUGAAGACCUGAGCUCAGACAGUUCUCUGACAAAGAGGCAGAAAAGCAGUGACAAACGACUCUUCUGAAGUGAUGUUCAGCUGGCAAAAUUCCCAGGACUGGUACAGAGAGUGACACGGGCUCAACUAAUCAGAGACAACAAAGUGAGUCCACAGAGUCAUGUGCUUGGCAGACACUUUUCCCAUCCAUAGGCAUAGCUAUAUCUUCAUUCCCAUGGCCACUCACUAACCUCCUCUUGGGAUCACAUCUGAGAUGGCAGUAGCUGCUUGCCAUCAGUUGGCCCUGCCUUACCUCCUCCAGGUUGAUGGUGCAUUGCUGAAAUAUAUUAGCUGUGCACUUUACUACACU
rnacentral:lncRNA from 1 species